rnacentral:pre_miRNA from 1 species
AUAGUUCUCCUCGUGUUCAUUGUUGUGCCUUUUGUAUUAUUGAACGGAAUCAUAAGGCACGCGGUGAAUGCCAAGAGCACGGCC